AUCAAAUAUUUUAGGUAUAUUUGAAACCUCUGCUAUCAGCCCUGGCUUAAAAAUAUUGUUUUCCAAUACCAUAUCGUUAUGUCGCAUAAUUUAUGUGUUCUAGGGUCUUAUGGUAUAUAUUGGUAAUCGAAAUGUAACCAUAAGUUUGAAAUUUGCAGUGCGAUGGGUAUUACUCGCACGAAUAUUCCAUUUAUUAUUUUUUAUACUUGAUAACAGGUGAUAAUAUCAAUACAAAAACAACAAACCAAUAAUACGUUUGUACUAUUUGUGAUGUUGUCGUGUCAAAAUCAACCGUACCUAUCCAAAUAAUAUACAGUUUACACUUGAAAACCAGAUGGGAACGACAGCCGUGCAGUGUUUCGCGUGGAAAUAAUAUUAUAAUAUAUUACAUGACACCUUCAAAAUUAAAUGCUGUAAUAUAUAAUAAUAUUGAACAAUACUGUAUCAUAAACACAAAGCGUACAUUAUUAUUGUGAUGACAUGUGCAACGUAUACGACGACACUGCGCUUCAAAUGUGUACUUAACGUUUUUUUACGUAUCAAAUAUUGGUCUGAGCUGUCUACAUAGAUGUAAUAUAUAAUUAAAUGUUUUGAUAAAAUCAACUAAGUGUGUGUGUGUGCGUGUGUGUGUAUGUGAACUAGCUACCUGACCUAUUCAAAAGUAUUGGUCACCAUGUAUUUUUUACACUGUGUAUUUCAUUCCUUUGUCAAAAAACUUCACUCAUUAUGGAAAUGAUAGAAAAGAUUUGAUUAAAUACAGUAUACAAGAUUCUCAAAAUGAAUUUAUCAUUGUGACCCUAAUAAUUACUGUGGACAUGGCAUUUAAUGAAUCUAUACUAAAAAUUUGAAGAAGCAUCUUUAAAUAUCAUUACAAUUUUGGGAUGAACUGGUAAAAGAUAGUGCGAGUAGAAUUAUUUUAGAAAAAUUAUCAAGUACACCAGAUUUAACCAAUAAUUCAAAAUACCUAACAAUUUUGUACUUGUUACAUAGUGUGCUACUUCCUUUAUCAAGAAAAAUAACAAAGACGAGAACGGAAAAAAUAUCAUGUAAAAUAUGGAAUCAAUAAUUCCAAAAAUUCAAUCACAAAAAUUACUGAAACUCCAUUGGAAAUUGAAGAACUUUUAAAAAAAAUAGCACUGAAUGAAGGUUCUAUCUGUUCUAUAGCUGAUAAUAUUAUAAGAAUGGAUAGGCCACCAAAACUUAAAACCCUUUGCUGAUGUGAGAGCACUAUAUAAUAGCAGUCUGCAGGGCCAUCCUUAAGGGGGGGGGGGGCGAGCAGAGCUCAGACCCUGGGUCUCGCGUUUGAAAAAAGUGGUAAAAUUGGUUUUCGCCCUGGGCCUUGCAAAUCCUAAGGACGGUCCUGGCAAGCCCGGAUUAAGGAUCAAUUGAGCCUCAAGACACCUUACACUCAGUGGGCCCCUUUUCAACUUUAACUUCAAAAUAAUUGUAUCAUUACAUAUUAACGACUUAACAUUAUAAUUUUUUACCAUACAAAAAAUAUACAGAGUGUAUCAUAUGUCA